rnacentral:snRNA from 1 species
CUACUUACCUGGCAGGGGAGACACCAUGGUCACGUAGGUGGUUUUCCCAGGGUGAGGCUCCGCCAUUGCACUUUGGGCUGUGCUGACCCCUGCGAUUUCCCCAAAUGCGGGAAACUCGACUGCAUAAUUGGUGGUAGUGGGGGACUGCGUUCGCGCCCUCCCCUG